rnacentral:lncRNA from 1 species
AUCUGGAGAUCACCCCCUCUGGGAGCUUUUCUGUGAGCCCAGGAUAUGGUGGAAGAGCUCAAGACACCUUUAUACACCUGAACCUGAAAUUAUUGUGAAACAUGACACCUAGAAGAAAAAAAAAAAUCAGAAACCAAUAUCUCCCUGCAGCUUAGAAAAGUUCACAUAUGCCUCACAGGAGCAUCAUUUAAGGACCAGAAGAGCAAAAUUUCAUUCUGAGAAAUGAUUGCCAUUAACAAUACUAGGGAUGAUUGAUCCAGAAAAUGCAAAGGUGGAAAGCUCUUCACUAUUUGAGGCUCAGCUAUCUAUAGAAUUCUGUAUGUUCUCUUGAUAACUACUAACAUACUCUCAAGAUCAUGAUGAUUGAAGUCAGUGAUCUUGGUCACAGAAGUAAAGAAGUAAAGAAAAGGACUUUUGUCCCUGAGAUUAUAAAAUGCAUAAGAGAGUAAAACAAUUUUUAAUUGCUGAUAUCCAAGGUUUAAUAUAGUAUGAUUAGAUUCUCUAGUAUCACUGUCACAAUUCAUAUAUUAAAUUUCAAAUAUAGUAGUUAUGUAAGAAACACUAGUAACAUAACCUGCAGGAGGCUCUAUUUUUUGAUAGCUUAUUCUAUUACCAAAAAUCAGUUCUGAGAUCCUAUGUUAAACUUUUAGCUGACCCCAGGGAAGUUGCACCUUCAUACUGAAAGUUUUGUAUAACCACAAGAUUUGCUUCUGAAACUGUCCUUCAAACAGCUCUGUGCAUGCUGCUGAUAAUGCACAGUUAAUGGUGGUGACAAUGCUGACAAACAGUGUUUUGUCACUGAGAAUUUCCUCUGUCAAAUAGUGCUAUUGUGCUCUUCAUAUCUGUUGUAGUUUCCAUAAAAAAAAAGAGGCAUUACUUUUGGAUCAACCUGCAUAUUAUCCUAAUUUGAAUAUCACAAUUUCAUUUUGAUUAUCCUAAAGUCUUUCAUUUGAAUAAAGUUCAUUAUAACACUUACACAAUGAUAAAUACAAGUUCUAAAAUGUGUACGUACAUGUAUAAAAGAAAUAUUAUCUAAAAACAAAGUGAUACUUUUAAUCCAUUGUUAUAGUAAAUUUCUAUCAUAAAUAUGUAUAUUUUUACUAUAUAGAAUGAAAAAAAAACCAAAAUUUUGGAAUUUUUAAUGCAGCUAGAGUUGUUUC